GUUCAAAAGACAAGCCGACCAAGACAGCAUGUAAGGGCCGUUGCUGGAAAUGGUGCAGGAAGAAGCAAAAGCCUGCUGAAAGGAGGGCGUCGAGGACGCAUCAGCCCGGAGCAUCGUGGAUUUGGGUCCGAUGGGGCUCUCUGACAUCCCCACAGCGUGAGUGAGCGUCUCAGGGCAGCUUCGUGGUUCUGUAGCGGGAACACAGGAAGCAGAAAGACCUCGGUUGUAGGACUGGAGAAGUUAUAAUCUCUGCUGCUUUUGCAUGUUCCACAAGAAACUGUGUUGACUUUGAGGCUUUCUCUCAUCCAUGGCCAUACUGAACAUGACAUCACUGCCCGUAAUAGGCUGGAGGAGGCGGCCAGCCCUGCACCCACAAGCAUGGGUUUAUUCUCACCCAUCACUGUUUCCAAAAAUAAAGCGACCUAAUUCAGUCCCCCAUAGUGUCCAGCCCAUUACCACAAGCUGGUCAUGUGAGGAGAUGCACAUUGGGCCACCUGAGCUGGUCCUCCCAGCCCCAUCCCCCACAAAGGCUGAUGUCCUGUAAUACACUCUCCACUCCAUGAUCUAGGCUGCACCUCACUUUAGAAUCGGCAUGGCCUUUCCUCUGCAAACCAGCAGGCGACUUCUCCCAAUAAAGACCGUAAGUGCAGGCCCUGCGGCAGCCGGGCGGCCUAGGUGUCCUCCGCCUUCCUUUGGUCCCUACCCUCC
rnacentral:lncRNA from 1 species